rnacentral:misc_RNA from 1 species
ACCCACAGGAACUCACCCAGUUGUGAAGUAAUUCAUUGACUGACUAGCUUAUUCAGCAAUGGCUGUAGUAGUGGGCUAUGGGGGUAUAUUGCAUGCAUAUUAUGAGAUUCUGUUGUUAGUCCCUUCUAUUCCUAUUAACAAUUUUUGGAGGUAUGUGAGUAGUUGUUUUAUGUUUCUUUGGAUUUAGUCUCAGCUGAUUCUUUGACAAUGAAGUUUUAGCUUCUUCUUUACUCUUUAGAUAUUAAUGUGGAAUUGGUUUUAAAUAGAGCAGAAUGGCGAAAAUGGAUUCAUGUAGCUGGCCCCAACUAGUUUGGAAUUAAGGUUUAGUUGUUAUUAUUUCUAUUAG